CAAUAGCGUAUAUUAAAGUUGUUGCAGUUAAAAAGCUCGUAGUUGGAUUUCGGGACGGGCCAGUUGGUCCGCCGCAAGGUGUGUUACUGACUGGUCUGUUCUUCUUCGCAAAGACUGCGUGUGCUCUUCGUUGAGUGUGCGUAGGAUUUACGACGUUUACUUUGAAAAAAUUAGAGUGUUCAAAGCAGGCUAACGCUUGAAUACAUGAGCAUGGAAUAAUGGAAUAGGACUUUGGUCCUAUUUUGUUGGUUUCUAGGACCGAAGUAAUGAUUAAGAGGGACAAUUGGGGGCAUCCGUAUUUCGUUGUCAGAGGUGAAAUUCUUGGAUUUACGAAAGACGAACAACUGCGAAAGCACUUGCCAAGAGUGUUUUCAUUAA
rnacentral:rRNA from 1 species